GACAGAGGGGGCAAGCAUUGCUCGGAAUCACUGGGCGUAAAGGGCGCGUAGGCGGGAUGGCAAGUCGGUCGUGAAAUCCUUCGGCUCAACCGAAGAACGUCGGCCGAUACUGCCGUUCUUGAGGGAUGCAGAGGAGAUUGGAAUUCCCGGUGUAGCGGUGAAAUGUGUAGAGAUCGGGGAGGAACACCGGUGGCGAAGGCGGG
rnacentral:rRNA from 1 species